GGAGAAAAAACAUUCCUGUUCCCCUCCCUGCAAAGUUCUCGUUGGUCUAAUCAGCACAUUCUCCCAGCAUCCACAGAAAUUUGUGGAAAGCUCAUGCAGUGUUGGAAGAGGACUCCAAAAGUCUUUCAUCACAAAUCUUAAGAACAUAUUGGAACACUGCUGCAAUUUCCACACCAUAAAGGAUAAGUAUGGAAAAGUCUUUAAAGGUUUAAGAUUAAAUUGAUAAUCAAUGUAUAGUGUUCUAAGAUGUUUCAUUCUGAUUAUUGAUUUAUAUCCCUGUGAGCACCAGCCAAUAAGAGUAGCCAGCAGAGGAAGUUAGCAUUUAGAGAGGUAAUGGGUCUCUCUCUCUCUUUGGAUGUGUUCAAGAAGGACCUGAACAGCCAUCCGUAGGAGAUACGUUGGUUGUAUCCUUGCAUGUACCAGAUGAAGGAACUUAAUUGUCCCAGGGCCUUUUCACACAUGACAGUAGUGAGCAUCAGAAAUACUUACUAGUCAAAUGCUUCUACAUUUUGCAGAGGCCCUAGCAAUCAGGAGCAGACUACAGCC
rnacentral:lncRNA from 1 species